rnacentral:rRNA from 1 species
UACGUGAAACCGUUCAGUGGUAAACCUGAGAAACUCGAAAGAACGAAAGGGGAGAUUCAGCGCGUCUCGUUUCUUGCGAGCGUCUGUUCGAGCGACGAAAGCGCGCGUUCGCGCGCGUUUUUCGCGUCUGCAGUCGCCGUCUCGAUGCGAACGUGUGCACUUCUCCCCGGGUAGGACGUCGCGACCCUUUGGGCGUCGAUCUUAACGGUUCGGUCGGAGACCGAACGUGACGGCUCGCGUCGCCACGUUCGAACGCCGAAUUUGCGAUCGACGCGCUCGAAGGUCCGACUAUGGCGCGGAGCGCGUUCGUUUACGCGUCCGGCCCGUCGCGAGCGUGUGCGGGUUUCGCGCGGUCAUUCGGACUUAGUGCCGAUGCUGCGCCCGUACCGCUUUCGUCGACGGUGCUCUCGGACAGACUCCGGUGUUUGGCGGGCGGGUAAAACCGUUCGGCACGCACGUACGCCGGUCGGCGACGCUUUAGUUUUGGGUAAUUUCAGGACCCGUCUUGAAACACGGACCAAGGAGUCUAGCAUGUGCGCGAGUCAUUGGGAAUUUUGAAACCUAAAGGCGAAAUGAAAGUGAAGGUACGCUCGCGUGCCGAGGGAAGAUGGGCUACGACUAAUAAGUGGUCGCCCCGCACUCCCGGGGCGUAUCGUUCUCAUUAUGAGUUGAGGCGCACCCAGAGCGUACACGCUCGGUAUCGAAAGAUGGUGAACUAUGCCCGGUCA